GAAUGCGCCAUCUGGAAUCACUAGUGACUUUUGUAUUAUUUUCAGAUUGCCACUGGUGUGGUUGGCUCCUUCGUGGACGGAACAAUUCAGAAACACAAGGAGGUGGAGGUGGAACAUGAAUGGGAACAGCAUGCGGGGAGGCAGGCUGAGUGGCAGAGGACGCAACAGAUUUGCCCUUACUUUGAGCAUCAAUCUUCCCUUUGCAAACAGGUUUGUCAACUGAAUUACUGGGGAACAGCAACUCCUCAACAGAUGGGUACAUUGAUGGUUGCUGACCUUGAGAAGCCUCAACACUAGGAGCAGCAACAGGAGCAUCCUUUAACACACUCCUAAGAUCCAAACAUGCCUUAGCUUUGGGCUUAGCUGUGGCAGGAACAGCAACAGGAGCAUCCUCUGCCACACGAGUAGAAGAGGUGGAUGACCCUUCAGCAUGUGCAUCAGAUGGUCCAUUGCCACCAUUGCUUGGUGCCAUCAUUUGCACAAAAGGUUUCAUCAGCUCAGCUAAUGGUGGUGGUGCCGCAUCAAGUACUUCAUGAGAGAGUUUUGCAAUGGCAUCAGGAAUUGGCUCUGGGAUAGACUUGAUAGCUUCACCUAUAGCUGAUUUUAUAUGUGCCAGACUUUCUUCCUGAGCAGGUUUCAAACCUUCGAUAGCUGACAUUAUCUGGGACAGUGGAUCCUGAGCAGUAGGCUUCACAGGUGUAGAAUUUCUCUCCUUUUGUUCAGUUGGUUGACUUUUCUUUAGCUGAACAGUAAUCCUCAGAGGGUUUAGUUUCUGACGCAGAGCUGCAUCACGCAGGUCAUCAUCAUCAUCUAGCAUGACAGCAUCACCAUCC
rnacentral:lncRNA from 1 species